rnacentral:rRNA from 1 species
UCAAAGAUUAAGCCAUGCAUGUCUAAGUAUAAGCAAUUAUACCGUGNAAACUGCGGAAUGGCUCAUUAAAUCAGUUAUCGUUUAUUUGAUAAUACCUUACUACUUUGAUAACCGUGGUAAUUCUAGAGCUAAUACAUGCUGGAAAAUCCCGACUUCGGAAGGGAUGUGUUUAUUAGAUAAAAAACCAAUGCCCUUCGGGGCUUUUUGGUGAUUCAUGAUAACUUUACGGAUCGCAUAGCCUUGCGCUGGCGACGGUUCAUUCAAAUUUCUGCCCUAUCAACUUUCGAUGGUAAGGUAUUGGCUUACCAUGGUUUCAACGGGUAACGGGGAAUUAGGGUUCGAUUCCNGAGAGGGAGCCUGAGAAACGGCUACCACAUCCAANGAAGGCAGCAGGCGCGCAAAUUACCCAAUCCCGACACGGGGGAGGUAGUGGACAAUAAAUACUGAUACAGGGCUCUUUUGGGUCUUGUAAUUGGAAUGAGUACAAUUUAAACCUCUUAACGAGGGAACAAUUGGNAGGGCAAGUCUGGUGCCANCAGCCCCGGUUAAUUUCAAGGGCG